rnacentral:misc_RNA from 1 species
AAACACUGCAGCGGCUGAGGAUACUACAACUACUCGCUUAAUUUUUGCUUCGACACAAGCUUCAAGCACAUUAUGUGUGCCCUUUACAGCAGGUUCAAUCACUUCUGUCUCGGGGUUUGAUGAAGUUGUUGAAGGAACUGGACAGGCAACAUGGAAAACUCCAUCACAUCCUGCAAUCGCUGAACGCAGAGACUCAUAGUUCAGCAAAUCAGCUUUAAACAGUUCCAAAUUUUCGGUCGCUUUCUCAAGUUUUCUCAAGUGAUCAUACUUAGCAUCGCUAGGCUCCCUGACAGUUCCGUGAACAAUAUAAUCCCUGGAUAGCAGAAGCUUGACGACCCACGAACCAAUAAACCCUCCAGCCCCUGUAACACAAACUUUGCCCUUCAUCGCCAUCGUCG